rnacentral:rRNA from 1 species
GUUUACCUUCGAAUCUGUGGAUGGCUCAUUAUAUCAGUGUUAAUUUAUCAGAUUAACAUAGACGGAUAUCCCAGGCAAAUCUUGGACUAAUACGCACAUCAUAACAGCUCUGACUUUCUUGGAAGGAGUGUGCUUACGAGACCAAAACCAAUGCAUGAACUUGUUCUUGCUUUGAAAUUGAAGAAACGUAACUUCACUGAUCGUAGCUCGUCACUACGACAUGUCUGAUAAGACACUGACCCAUCAACUUGAUAUUUGGGUAUGGCCCAGAUAUGGUUACAACGGGUAACGGGGAAUUAGGGUUCUAUUUCCGGAGAGGCAGCCUGAGAAACGGCUACCGGUCCUAAGGGAGACAGCAGGCGCGAAAAUUACCCAAUGCAGACUCUGCGAGGUAGUGACGAUAAAUAACAAUCCGAGUAUUUUUAAUACUUGGAAUUGGAAUGAGAAAACAUUAAAUCACUUAACGAAAUCAAUUGGAGGGCAAGUCUGGUGCCAGCAGCCGCGGUAAUUCCAGCUCCAAUAGCGUAUAUUUAAAUUGCUGAAGUUAAAACGCCCGUAGUCAAAUUUGAAGGGUUAAGGUAUAUGAAGCGCACUUAAGGGUAGAAUCUAGCUAUCACACUUGCCUUCUUCACCACCCUAUAUACUAAGUCUCUUAGCUCUGGGAUGAUAAACGCCGUCAACAACUCGGUUGUACCAUCUAACUAGCACCUCUUUUCAUUAAGUUGGUGCGGCUAUUAGACGUUUACCUUGAUUUAAUCAAAGCGUUCAAAGCAGGCAAUGACAGCCCGAAUGUACAAGCAUGGAAUAAUAAAAGAUGACCUUUGGUCCUUUUGUUGGUUUAAGACCAUCGGUAAUGAUGAAAGGAGUAGGUUCGGGACACUAGUAUUUACUCGCUAGAGGUGAAAUUCUUGGAUUGAGUAAAGACUAUCUACAGCGAAAGCAUUUGUCAGGGACCUUCUCGUCGAUCAAGGACGAAAGUUGGGGGAUCGAAGAUGAUUAGAUACCGUCGUAGUCCCAACAGUAAACGAUGCCAACCAAGAGUUGGUGGACAUUUAUAAAUCAUCAUCUCUCCCGAGAAAUCUUAAGUUUU